GUUGUUACAAGGAGGAGGGUGAAAAAUUGUUCUCCUUAACUUCUGAGGACAGGACAAGAAGCAAUAGGCUUAAAUGGCAGCAAGAGAGGUUUAGGCUGGACAUUAAGAAUAACUUCCUGUCAGCGUAGGUAAGUACUGGAACAAACUUGCCUAGGGAGAUUGUG